GACGAACGCUGGCGGCGUGCCUAAUACAUGCAAGUAGAACGCACAGUUUAUACCGUAGCUUGCUACACCAUAGACUGUGAGUUGCGAACGGGUGAGUAACGCGUAGGUAACCUGCCUGGUAGCGGGGGAUAACUAUUGGAAACGAUAGCUAAUACCGCAUAAUAUUAAUUAUUGCAUGAUAAUUGAUUGAAAGAUGCAACUGCAUCACUACCAGAUGGACCUGCGUUGUAUUAGCUAGUAGGUGAGGUAACGGCUCACCUAGGCGACGAUACAUAGCCGACCUGAGAGGGUGAUCGGCCACACUGGGACUGAGACACGGCCCAGACUCCUACGGGAGGCAGCAGUAGGGAAUCUUCGGCAAUGGACGAAAGUCUGACCGAGCAACGCCGCGUGAGUGAAGAAGGUUUUCGGAUCGUAAAGCUCUGUCGUAAGAGAAGAACGGGUGUGAGAGUGGAAAGUUCACACUGUGACGGUAUCUUACCAGAAAGGGACGGCUAACUACGUG
rnacentral:rRNA from 1 species